rnacentral:tRNA from 1 species
ACUCGCUUGGUGAAAUUGGUAAACACGACGGAUUUAAAAUUCGUUCUUUAUCUUAAGAGUUACUGGUUCAAGUCCAGUAGCGAGUA